UGGAUUUCAUUCAAGACACACCAAAUGACUCGUCCCAUCAUAUUAUGAUGUUUUCCAAUUUGUCGAAUCAAUCCGAUAUCGAUUGUUCCAUGAAAUUUGACAAUUCAGGUUCGGACGAAGUUCAUUAUGAAAUAGAGUGGUUGGUGUAUUUCAAAGUUUUAGCCAUUGGAUUUCACUAAAAAGUCACUAAAUGACUCUUCCCAUCAUAUUAUGAUUUUUC
rnacentral:lncRNA from 1 species